GAUUGCCCUGUAGACCAGAGGUGUCAUGAAGGGAGCACUGAUGAAGAUAAUUGUGUAGAUAUUAAUUUUAUAAUCACAGAAUACUAAACCUCUACUGGAUUCAGUAUGCCACUCCUUUUUCACGGCAUGGCAUUUGUGUUAACCACAACGAGCACCAACCACUACUGCCAAGUAUGGUAAGGUUUAGUCAACUCUUAAAAAGAGAAAUCGCCAGGAGAUUACAGUAUGAGAGAGAGAGGUGAGAGAGAUAAGUGUGUGUGUCUGAGAAAGAGAGUGUGUGUGUCUGAGAGAGAGAGCGAGAGAUAGCAUAGGGGUAUGUGUUCUUGUAAAGGGGGGAUUUAUUUCACAAACAGGGGGGAAAAAACUAUUCUACAGAUUUGAUCGAAGGUGUUGUUGAUGGAUGAUUAUGACAUAAUCCCAAACAGUUGGCAUGCAAAUAAACAUUAGCUCCUCAGUCCUUCUCAUUGGGUGUUAGUGGCUGAUGGACGGAUCUAAAGAGGAAAGUGAAAACACAAACUCACACUCUGUCAGCAUCCAGCCGUGGCAAGCAGGCACAUUGUGGAGUAGGCUAUGCAGCCGCGCUAAAGAGUUAUUAAAGUUCUGAGUCUGACAGUCAAAGCUUCCGGAAGGCAUACACACGGAGGAAUACAACUGAAAACAGGGAGGAAAAUCUCACCUCACCGGUAUCUGCUUUCUACACUUUGACUUUGGGACUAUUCUGGAGUGUAGCUAAAUGAAAAGGAGGCGACGUAUCAUAACCAAAUAGACCGCACUAUGGAGAGCAAGGGCAGCCGCUGUAAAAUCGUGGUGGUCGGCGACACGCGAUGUGGCAAAACGGCAUUACUUCAUGUCUUCGCCAAAGACUCGUACCCAGAGAAUUAUGUCCCUACUGUCUUCGAGAACUACACGGCCAGUUUCGAGAUCGAGAAACAGAGGAUUGAGCUGAACAUGUGGGACACAUCAGAACUCAAUAGCGACACAAUAUGAUGGACCAAGAUUCCCUGAAUAUCAAGCAUCAACUUCUGAUCACCUGGUCACCUGACCCCGUGAUAAGACCAAUAAGGUCACCAACGACCUGCU